UCAACAGGGUUGCUAUUUCCAGAGCCCAUUAAUCCCCCUCCAACAAUAACUCAAUCUUCUUUACUUUCCUAGGUAUCAAGCCCAAUCAGUUAUCCAAAUAAUCAAUUAACAGCUUGCACUUUAUAAUACAGACAUGCAAAAUGCAAAGAUGGAAAGGAAGGGCAAGUCCUUGGAAGAAUAUGAAAUUUUACAAAGCUAUUGAAUAUUUACUAUAAAGAAGUACAGACAAAUGAGCAUUACAAGCAAAACAUAGUUUUAAAAAAUUUUCAUCGAAAGAGCCUGUCAUCUUGUAAUUGAAACAACGUUCAGAUCAGACUCAGAAUAGACCAAUAGCAUGACUUGCCGAUUGUCAGGAGGGCAAUGAUUGCAGCAGGACUAUUGGAACGGAGUUUUUGACCUAAAAGCACUCCUUACUUUUGAACUUAAUGUCAAGACUCUCUUUAAAAGAACUUUAAUCCGAAAAUAACAAGAUUACCUUGGAUUAGGGUUUUUAAUUUUUCUUUCAAUGCACUAAUAAAAAAAUAAUAUCUCUUUUAAAAAAAUGAUAACAAAAUUAAUUUUAAGUGUUAGAUUAGAAGCAUUUACAAAAUAAAAUCUUUAGAUAUUUUUUUAAAAAAAAAUUUGACACUAGAGUUUUAUUUUGGAAGUACAUUUUCAUAGACUAUAAAAAGCAAAAUAUUAGAUAAAUUCUUUUUUAAAAAUUACUGUUGAUGCAAAAUAAAAAUGGAGUAGUUUUACAAAUAAAUGUGUUUGACAAAAAAAAACAGACUACUUAUUUAUUUUCAAUGGAUCUAUUGAAAAAGAUUUGUGAGAGGCCCUAAAUCAAAGGGCAAAUUUGUCAAUUUUGCCACAAAAAUUAGCUCUGGGAGAAAUCUUGAUCUUAGUUUCAAAAGUCGUGAUGUUCUAUUUCUGAAACUACAAGACAGGCUUUAGUUGUCAAAAAUCUCAAGGGAGGUCAGUUUGAAGUUAUCCAAAAUAAAUGUAUCAUGAAUGGCAAGGGAAAAACUAAUAACAAUAACACAAUAACACAUUUAAGGAUGAUUGGAGUUGGGAGAGGAUACUUGAACAACACAAAAAGUAGUUUUCUUAUGAUAAUAUAAAAAAAAAUAAUAUGGAUCAGUAGUUACCACUUUAAAUGGACAAUAUAGAGGACAAGAAUAGAUUAAAUUAUUGACCUAAGAGAUUGAUCUAUACCGGAACAUCAAUCACUUGGGGACGCUUCAGUUACAUUUUUAAUUUGUUUUUUUUCAAUAUUGCCAACAUAGAACCCAACAAGGGCGGAAAACAUAGAAUCAAACACAUGCACACUGGAGGGAUAGAAUUGUAGUAUUAUGACCGCUUUGCUUGUAAUUUCUUUCAUUUAGUGGGAUCAGAGGUUGAAAUCUAUCUUUUGUCCAAUAAUUCUAGAUGGGUGCUUGAUGAUUAGAGAAACUCCACAAAUGUAUAAAUCAAUCAAUAAUGUGAAAUUGGGUAAAUGCAUGCCCAACUCUAUGACGCAAAUCCAUUCCAAGUUUCCUUCUCUUAUACCAACUUGAAAGUAAAGAGUUAAUGAAAUUGAUAUGCUCAGUUUUGACCAUCUGAAUUGCAAUAACAUGUCAAAGCCCAGAGGUCCCUCAAAUUGAGAACAUGGAAGCCUAAUAAUUUUAUUAAUAACUUAAGAGUAUCUCUUAAAUAUAACCACUUAGAUUUAGGAGGGUGAUUGCAGGAUCUAGAUUUCAAGGAUGAUGAUUGUGUAUACAUCAAUAAUGAAGUGAAGUAAAUUCUUAUUAUUUAAUAUGUAAUGGUUUUGAUAUCCAUUCACUCGUAGAAAAACUACACAUGCUAAUUAUUUUUUAACAUAUUUUUGGGUCAAUUAAUUGGAGUUAAUGUACGAAUAUUGUGAGUAUUAUGCCAAAUUUAAGAUAUUCAACAAAGUCCAACAAUACAAAUCCAUAAGCAUACUAAUAAGCCCAGCAACCACAUAGCAUAAUUAAGUAAAACUUUAAUUUAGUAAAAAUCAAGUGUAAUAUAAUAAUGCAUCCAGAUUUAUUCUGAGAUAUCUAUAGCACUAAUACUAACACAUGUAUAAUUAUAUAUUCAGAUCAUGAUGAUUGAAGAAACCAAAAAGGAAAAGAUACAAAGAGUAUAAGAACAAUCAAACCAUCAAACUAUAAGAACUUAAGAAAAAUGCAGCACAGAAAUACCACAUACCUGUGACGUCAAUCACAAUCAUUAACGUUUUCAGUGACCUCCAAGGCUGAAAUUUUUUAUUGCUCAUAAAGAGUCACCAAUCCUUGUUAAUAAACUUGGUUAACAAAUCUACCCAAAACUUGUGCUCUUGAUCUAACCACGAAAUUCAAUUUAUAAAUCCAAAGAAGAAAAUAAAAUUGAUUUGUGCUAAAGACUAAACCUUAAUUUUGGGACUAGCAGAAUCCAAUUCUCCACAUAUUGAAUUCAUUGCUCUCCAUUUAAAGAGUUACAUUGAGAAAGUGUAAUUAAAUGACUACAAGUUCAAAGAUAUUAGAGAGAGCACAAAAACCUUUCAUAAGGUGAAGAAAUAGGGUGAGGCUCUUCUAAGAAUUCAAUGGUUAAGGCAGGAGUUGCCUAGAUCUGCGGUCUCUGCGAGACCGUCUUUGAAAAUGGCAGCCAGCAAAAGCCAUCGAGAUGAGCACCAAUUGUGGAAGAAAAGGUCUUCUCCCGCAUCGGUAGUACCAUGACCAGAAACUAUGAGACAAGUAAAAAAAACAAAUGUUACUUGCGGAAUCCACAACAUGUGAAAGAAAACAUCACCGAUCGCCGAAUUAUGGUGACUACGGUGAGUUUCAGAGAGACUGGUGCUCUAUGAUCUGCCUCUAUGUCCCUAUGCUUCUCUCUCUCUAUCUCUCUCUCUCUCUCCUCAAGUAUUGAGCGGGACUGGAACAAGGGCAAAAUGGGAAAGUAAAAGAGGUUACAAAAUUUAGGUUGGAAAUUUCUAUGAACACUACCCCGCCUCCCCCCCCCCCCCCGGGUCGAUUUAUAUAUAGUUAGGAUUACAAUGUGCAUGCGAGUGUCCGAGCUGUGUGUGGGUUGUGUGUGAGAGAAGAGAGAGAGAGAGAGAACCUUCUAUUGAUGGAGAGUUGUUCGAAAAUUAUCUGACAAAAUAAUUCUUUGAUAAUUAUUGCCAACCCAAAAAGCACAUGAAUAGCUCAAUUGCCAAUCUGAUUCAAAUAAAUAAGCUUUCUAAUGAUGUUGCAGUGUUUUGCUCCAUGGCCGCAAACUUCUGGAAGCUCUGGAAGGAUUGGAGCCUUGCACAGGCCUUCAAGCUGAGCUAGUCCAAGCAAGUAAGGUUAAUAAUACUAUCCGGAAAGGUAUGCAAAUUGUACAAUCAAGAUCUAAGGUCUUUAAUGAGAUAACCUCGCUAUUUCACUGGGAAGAUGCGACACAUGCGUGUUUCAUAGACAAUCUCUCCAAGCCAAGCAAGGUUAAAAAUACUAUCUGGUAAGAUAUGUAAAUUGUUUUUGCCAAGAUACAGAGUAUCUAAUGAGAUCAAAUCCCAAUUUCAAGAGGCAGAUGUGAGACUUUUGCAAGACACAUAGGGUAGGGCUCAUAUAAGCUGGGGCAGUAUUCUCUGCCCCACGGCUAAAUGGAGGUUUUGUUUUCAAGGUAUCAAAUUGGUGACAGCUGAUCUUAAUCUUAAUUGGCUGAAGAAACCAGGAUCCAACAUCCCUUGUCAUUGAACAGAAACAAAUAACCUAAAAUGAUCAACGACCUAUGCAUAACCACAUAGGGUAAUGGCUGAUAUAAGAUGGGACAGUAUUCUGAUGCCCACAGGCUAAUGUAUCAAAUUGGGUGAUAGUUGACCUUAAUUGGUGAAGAACCGGAUCCAAUGUUCUUGCCAUCCAACUGAAAACAAUAACCUACACGAUCAAAGAUCCAAAAAUACGCGACAUGUCAAUGAAAAUCAAAACAGAACAAGGUCCAAAGUUCCAUAAAUUAGAAGUUUGACAUGGUGAAUUAACAUGUUGUGUCCGUAAGGAGUAUUUUAGAAAUACGAGGAUCAAGACCAACUAUGCUUCAGCUGAGUGAAGACAAAGUGUAGAAAAAAAAAACUAUAGGUUUAAGCCAAAUGAAGUAAGAUUCAGGCAGAAAAUGACCAAUAAACACACCAUAUAAUAUUUCUUUUACACCACCAAGAGAUAAAAAAGAAUAAGGCAUAUAAGGUGAGAAUACAUAUAAAGCAAGACAUUUUGUACUUGAUUUUAAUUUAUUUCUAUUAUAACAAUCAGCGAAGUCUUGGAUAUUAUCUACGGACCUGAGAGUUGACUGCUUUAACUAUAAUGGUGAGGACUAUAGAAUUUUUUUGGCUCUUCCAUCUAGUUCUAAUCAAAAAACACACCGUGAUAUAUGAAAAACAAGGAUAAAUAAAUCUAACAAGAAUUCAUCAAUUGAAAACAUUACGAUAGAGAUACAAAGGAGCUGAUUCUGCAAUAGAAGGGCAUGAUGAUAAACAGAUUCCAUGCCAGGAAGGCUAUUAUAGAUGGAAAGUGAGAGGAAUAAAGGGGGUGUUUGGAUUAGUAGAGGGAAUUACAAAAUCACACAACAUACAGUUCAGGAGACGGGCUUUCUGAACAUAUCGACUAGAGAUGCUGCGUUUUGUUCGUAAUCCGAUCACCACUUUUGUUUCCUUUCCACAAACUAUUCAAAGCAUUUGCGAGAGAGAGGCAAAUAAAUUGCUUCCAGAGAAAUACAUUUUCAAACUUGGUACCAUGUUUCAAUAUGGUUUAAAAAAUAUAUAACUGCCUGACGUAUCCAUAAGUUUAAAGAAAGGUGCCACCAUAAAAUAGUCCACAGCUACACCUUUGAGAAAUUAAAAAGAAAAAUGAUCGCCACAAUCAUACAGAAUCCUUAAAAUGGCCUUCUUCAAUGGCAUGAGAAGUGGCUUAUUCAUAGACCAUAUUUUCUGCAAAUAAACACAUAAAAUCUUAUAAAUCACAAUUAAAUUGGUUAUAUGAAAGCUGCCACAUGGACGGACGAAAGAAUAAAUCAAGGCAUGCCCCAAUGCUAAAAUAGCUUUCAAAACAUCACGUACUAGAUGAAAAACUAAUGACCAACGAUACUUAACCCACAAAAUAAGAAUGUCACUUGUCCAAAAGCCACAGAAUGGCCAAGAAAAAUGGUUCAUACAAGGAUAGCCAAGCCAGUCUACUUUGUUCACAAUGUUACAUAACUUACAUUGCAAAGUACGAAUAGAGUGUCAAAACAGAUGACGUUUUACAUCUAUAACAUUAGCUCACAAAGUUUAGUGCUAGAUUUUUAGAAACAAGUCCUUAGGUUAUAUAACAAUUGAUAAAUUUCUUAUCCUAUCCAGUUCAACCGUUACAUUCACUAGAGUGAAAUAAGAUAGAAUCAUGAAAUUCAUGGGGAUUCAAUAGGCCUCAAUGGAAAAUACGAAGCAAUAUGCUACUUUACCCAUAUUUUAAUUCUACUAGGGUGAUGAAAAAUAAUUUUGUCUAAAUGCAUGUAAACAUUAUUUUUAACAAAAGGAAAAGCACAGAAUCCACAUUUACAUUUGUCAUAUUGUAUAACAUAUUUACCAAAAACAUCAAUAUUCGAAUGUUUAAAACUAACAUACCCAAUAGGCCCAGUUCUAGUUUGUGAGAGUGAAAAUUUCCCGUUAUUUUAUCUAUAGUAAAUAGGACGAUCUUUAAAUCUCCAAUGAUUUUGUAUAUUCCUUACAUCACUAAAUAAUAAUGUGUGAUGCCCCCCCCAAUAUGACUCCAUUUACCACCAUUCUUGACCUCCCAUGUGCUAAACUCAAAUUUAGAUACUCAGUAUUGUAGUUACCACCUGUUAAAAAUAUGAACUGCAUAUCUUAGAGAGUAACCAAAGUAGUAAAAAAUAUUAGGCUUAAAUGAAUUGUAAAUGAUAGUGUUUUAUUAGGAGUUGUAUUCGAUAAAAAAGAGAGAGAUUGUAAGAGUGAUAAACCAAAUAAAGUACAUACUUAUGGAUGAUAUCAGGGGGCUUCAUUCUGGACAACGUUGAUGCAAAUGUCAAAAUGAUACCAUCAAAAGAACAAAACUCUCGUUAAGAUAUCUCAAAAGGCAUGUCUCAUAGAAACUCAAAUAACCUUGCAAUAAAUUGAAGCAAAAUAUAACAGAAUGGUUACUACAUAACUGGUUGUAGACCUUAAAAUUGUUUGUCUUGAGAUUGGUUUAUUUCAACACUUGAUUCAAGCAUUUUGAAAUGAGUUGAAGUGCAACAAAGCAUUUAAGAAUCAAGAAAAUUGAUAUUUCAUGCAUAUUAGAGUACCUUUGUUUCUAGUUGUAAUAGUCUGGAUUGACACAAAAUAAAAAUGCUUAAGUUUUUUUUGUAAGUAAAAAUAUUAUUGAGAAAGGCAAUACAAUCAUCACGAAGGGCACACUCUUCAAAUUUAAGCAGGGUUAAAAAUACCAAAACAACGAUUGCUAUGAAGUCUAUAUGUUACGUAAAAAACAAUUCCAAAAACUGAUUCCACCAACGCAUGAGUGCCAAGAAAAGUUCCUCCUUACGUGGUGGAAAUAUGAUUCAAAAAUUAAGCAUAUGUGUUAUCAAAAGGCCCUAUAAUUAUUGGAACAACCACCUGCUCUCAAUGCUUAAGUUGUUUUAUAGAAGGUGUGCAACGUAAGUAUUACAUCACUUGAACUGAAGCUCUACAUGUGUUGUACACCAUCCAUGCAUGAAUGAAUUCAAACCACAAGGAAGAUAACACAAACUACAAGUACCGAGCGAUAUUGACCAAUUCUUAAGAAACCUUAGCCUUGUUAGAGAGGACUGAACUUUUAGUAGAAUCUUGAAACGUAGAGUGACACAAUGAAUGGAAAAAAUUGCUUCAGGCAAACUACCAAUCAAAAACCAAAAAAAAACAUUAACACGUGUGAAGAAAAAACUAUUCAGAGAAGGGAUGCCCAAUAAUCGUUUUAUGAUCCACCAAAAACACAAGAUCGUAUGCAAAAACUAAGAAAGCUUUUGUCCCAGUUUGGAUAAGUAGAACUGACCAACCUAUCAUAUGAGAUCAUAUAAGAAAAACCAGAAGCACGACGUAGAAAGAAUAAAAAAAUGCUUCAUUUACAAAUUUUAUGGUAGUUUUAAAAAGAUUACCCACAUCAGAUUAGAACCCCAAAAAGCACUGAUUGAUAUGGAAUAUUGUAGACCAUUAAAGCUUCCUCAAAAGAAAAAGUCAAAAAAUGCUAUGCGUGCUCCAAGAGAUGGUAUAAGAAGCAAAAAAAAAUUCUCUGAAAUGUACAUUUGCAUAAGUGGUGGACCAUCCAUAAAACAAAAGCAUGCCUUGUACCUUAUUUUCUAGUAUAAUCAAAGGUGAGAAAUACAUGGAGACAGCUAAGAAUACACAAAAAAAAUUGAAAAAAUAACAAUAAAAUCUAUGUUUGAUUCCAAUAAAACCAAAGCCAUGGUUUCAAUGAAUGAUUCCAAUAAAAACAAAGCCAGGUUCAAUGAACUAUGAAGUUAAAAUUUUUUGAAAACAAUGUCUUAUAUUCCUAGAGGAAUCUCAAUUAUGUCAAUUUGUCUUUGUGCAUUGUAUUUAAUAACAGAACAGGAUCUCUGUUGUUUCUCUCAUGCUCUUAUAUCUUCCUAUCUAUUUUUGUCAAUAUAAAAUAAUCGAAAAAAAGAGAAUCAUAAUCAAUGGCCUGAGGAAACCAGCCAUCCCCACACUAUUUUCAACACUGUCACUAUAUUUGGAUGAAGGAUUUAGGAGAAUUUGGGAGAAAAAUAUAACUUAAAAAAAAUAUUAAAUCUAAACCAUUAAAUCCUUAUUACACUUUUCCAUUUCCUUUUUUGUUCCCUUCACCAAAUCUUAAUCCAAACACAGCGUAGACUCAAUACUUGAUUAAAUAAAUAAAGCAACAGUAGAAUCCGAAAAUUAAAAAUCUGGUAUAUGACAAAUGGGACCUCGUCAUGCAUCGUUAAGAUCGAAAACAAUAUGCGAUAUGAUUGCAGCAAAUGGCAUUGUGCUAUAUUCCUAUUUCUCUAUCAACAAAACAAGUUUGAUGCGCAAGAGACGGGAUAAUAAGAAUAAGACACUAGAAUUAUCAAACUCAUAUGGCUGUCUAGUUAUACUUCCUCUAGUCAUCUAAUUUCUCGUAAGCAACAAAGAUAUUUAUAAUCACCUACCCUCUGUUUCUUCUGCGGACCUUAAUAAAUCCAAUAACAAUGAUCAUAAGCGAAGUCAUGUAUUGACUUGACUCCAAAACCUAGCACCGUAAAUAAUGUUAAUUGAAAAACAUAGAAAACAACUACAAAUAAUUUCGUAUUGAAGAGCCAAAAGCAAUAUCAAAUAUAAAACUGACACAACAAAGAUUCAAGAACAACCCGUGUUUGCAUUUCAAAGUUUGCCCUAGUGGGGACAAUGCUGUGUGACACCAGGUUUACACAAACCCAUGUCUUCAAGUCAAUCCUUGUUUUCCAGAUUUUCUCAAGAUAUCAGAAGAAUCGUUACCCUCUAUUUGGUUGCGAGAAAAUCAAUGAAGGAAAAGUAAAAACAACCCAAGAUUCAAAAACUCACAUCUUUUCCUGAGCAACCAAACUGGACAGUCUGAACCUCAUUCUGUUUGGGUGAUAAGAAAAUCAAUGAAGUUAUUUUUUAAAAAAAAAAUAAUAAUAAAGAAAAAUAGCAGGAUUCAAGAACUUGCUUCUUUUCCAUAAACUCGUUUGCUGAGAGAUCAAUGAAAGAGGUGUAAAAUAAAGACGCACAAGGAAAAAAAAACCCAAUAAUCCCCCCCCAAGAACAUCGACAUCGCUUAGUUAACACAGUGUAAUUCGAGAAACCAAACUGAAUAGCAAGAUGUUGGAUGGAAGUUGAAAUUAAAGAAGAGAAAUAAGUGAACAGAUUGAAAGAGAUCGGAAGUGUGUUUUGCGACAAUCAAACUGAACACUAACUUUGUUUGGUUGCCGAGAAAAUAAAUGAAAAAAGAGAAACAAAAUUACUCUAAAGAAAAACACUAAGAUUCAAGAAAUCCAUCUUUUUCGUUAAAACCCUGUUUUCUGAGCGCGAAAACUGAACAAUAACUAUGUUCGGCUGAAGAGAUGAUGUUAUGUGUGCGAACGGUAUUGGGUAAUUUGGGUGCCUGAUUUUGCACUUCCACCCACGUGAAUUCCAAUUGUCCGCUAGUGGGUUUUUUAUUUUCUUGGAAAAAUUUCAUUUUCUGAUUUCAAUUUCAGGGAACUGCUUUGGCCUUCUCUCAAAGGGUGGCGAACCCUAAAGAUGCCUCACCAGUGCUGGAACUGCUCCGCUAUCUACAAUUAAAUCCACAAUCUCCUCUGCAAACACACAAAUCAUCAAACAUCAAACCCUAAGUCCUCAAGAAACUCGAGAAUUACGAAACUCAACAUCAAUAUCGUAGGCAUAGAAUAAUAACGGACUCAACUAAAAUUUUAAAAAACAACCUGACACAAGUCAUCAAUCAAAGAUCAACCCCCUCGGUCGGCCCACCAAGAAACUCAAGAAUUACUAAAAAUCAAAAACCACACCGAAUUAAAGAUCCAGUUAACAAAACUCGACUAAAAUUGAAAACGCACAAAUUAUAAUCAUCAAAGAUCAAAGCCCUCGGCCAUGAAGGGGUUCAAGAAUUACCAAAGCUCAAAACCACAAACACAUAAAUCAAAAUAAUUUUGCAAUUUAGAAGAAAUAAAGAUUCGAUUAAAAUUAAACAAUCGAGGCUUUGUGUCACCGUCCUUCGCAAGUUCGAGAUAACGUGAACUGCGCGCUUGGCAGCGUCUUGAAACAAGGAUUUCCACUUGCGUGCGAAUUUUGCGAAUGAGAUCUUGAUGAGUUUGUCGAGGAGAGAGAGCGGCAAUCUGCUCCAAAAUCAUCUCACUGCAUUUCUCAUAGUUUCUCUUUGCAUUUGUUCUUCAAAUGUGAAAUUACACAUUAAAGGAGGACAUUAUCUGGAAAAAUAAUAUUAGUUCCUAAAUAUGAAUGAAUAAACAACAUGAUUAUUAUUGCUGGGCAAUGCAGGAAUGAAAAAAUAUUCAAAGACAUAUAAUUUGAACUUCCAAUUUGAUUCUUGAUGUUUGAACCAUGAAUAUUCAGGGAGUUUACUGCCUAUGCGCUUGCCUCUAAUCAUACUGCCAGACAUGAACACUAGACUACUUAGAUUAAUAUUCAUAGAUAGAAUAACCCUCCAAAUAAAGAGAGAAAAAUCUAAUGAAUGCACUGAUUAUUUUAGAUAUACUACUGCUUUAAAAAACACUCAAUAAAAAUGUCUUUUUUUAAAGACCCUGUUUCUAAAGCGCGAAAAACUGAACAAUAACUCUUUUGGGUUGCCAAAAAAAAAUCAAAUGAAAAAGAGAAACAAAAAUUACUUCUAAAGAACAACCCAAGAUUCCAUAACUCUCCCGUUUUUUAAUUAAAACCCCGGUUUUCCUGAGCAAACCAAACUGAAUCAUUUUUUCACCGAAUCUUGCAAUAAAUCUGAAAAAAUAAAGUAAUCUCAGAAUUGUUGGAAUCAAAUUAAGAAGUAGAAAUAUAACACCGAGAUUGACAGAGAGAGAAAGAUUUUACAUACAUAUAAAGAAUUAAGGCAAAUAAGAUCCAUGAAAGACCAUUCUGCCACGGUGGAAUUGGCGUAGCAGUUAGAGACAGGGGGGUAGAGAGAGGGGGUUAAAGCAGACGCAAUUGCGGUAUUGUGAUUGCAUACGCCUACAAGAAGAGAGAGAGAUAGUAGAGGUUUUAGAGCAGAGGGCGGUUGCCUAUGCUUUGGAUUAAAGGAAUCGAGCUUCCGGUCGAUACCUUAGGUUUGUGCCCACGCACAUGGCUGAAGAGAUUAUAUUACGUGGCAAACGUGAUUAGUCGAAUUGGUGGCUGGUACGAUACCGUUGUGUUAGGAAACAGUGUAGACUGUUAUUUCCGUAUUAAGUGCCCACUAGUCUCCACGUUUUUAGGCAUAUGUUAUACUAGACUCCAUAUAAUUAAUGCCAAUUACAGAUAAGGUUCAAUCUUUAAUUUUAAAUAGAAACUCCUUUAUGAUAAAAAGGAUAACCAUUGAUGGAUUGGACUCCUUUUAGGAGUAGAUCUCUAUGCCCUCCUUCUCUCUCUCCUCAUUAAGAUAGGAAUAACCACCACCCCUUGAACGAUGAUUUUUUUUCCUCAAAUAUUAGAAUAUUGUUGCCUUUAAAUUUAGAGACAAGAGAAGAGGUGAGCCAGAAAUAAAGUAUUCAAUUAAGGGGCCAUUCAAUUGCAUCAAUAUGGCUAAUAAAGGUAUGAUCUACUCCAUUAAUUAUUGUAGAAUAAUGAUUUUAUAGAUGUAUUGAAUUCACGAGAUCCUAUUCGAUUUUAAUUUCCGCAUAAUAGUCGAACCGAAUUAAUUUUAUAUCUUACAUUUGGUAUCAGAGCCAUGAUUUAUUGAAUCAAUACAUCUUAGUAUUAAAACCAUGUUUUUUCGUUGAAUUAUUUAUAUAUUCAUGAUUAUUAGUAUGAUAUAUGUAUGUUUGUCUAAAUAUGUAAAUAUAAUUAUGAAGUCAGAAGCACUCACAUGUUUUGUAUACAUAAGCAAAGUAGAACAACAGAAUUGGGAUUGGCACCUCACACCACACACACAAAAAAAACGAUAUGUUGGUUGCUGCUUCCUUGUUCAGUUUUAAAUAUGUAAAUGAGAAUUAAUGCCCCCAUGACCUAUAGAAAUUAUAAAUAACUUCGAGAAGUAGUGCAACAAUUAUUGUCAUGGGCUCAAUACCGUUAGAUGGCAAUGUAUGGCAUAAUCGCAUCAUUUGCGCCCGAGCACGGGUUAGAUGGUUUGUUAGAUGUAUAUUAUUUAUAUGCCACUCAUUAUUAUACAAUUUAUUUUGAUGUAUGUUUGAUUUAUGUUUCUUGCCGGCAACAAUUGCGGUGCUUCAUCGUUACUCAAUUUGACAUACCCUAUUUUAGCCUAUGGUAAGUUUUCAGUUCAUAUAGUGAGUUGUAGGUUCUGGAAGACGAGGGUCAGUAUGUGAACAAAAAUACAGUUUUUGUAACCCAUAUUCUAUAAAUGACAGUUUUAUCCAGAUUUGUAAAUUACAGUUUUAAACUCAAAUUUUAAAAUUACAGUUUUAACCCAAAAUUCUGGAAAUUACAGUUUUAAACCAGUUAAAAAAAAAAUUAUUACAGUUUUAAUCCCAGAUUAAAAUAAAAAAAAAUAAUAUAAUGUUAAUUGAAUUUGAAUAAAAAAAAGAGAAUAUUAUUGGUUAGUUCAAUAUUCAUGGGAAUUACUAGUAGUAGUUGCCAAAGUGACACUAAGUCAGUAAUCCUAUGAAUAACGAACUACAUAAAAGAAUUGUAAAAGGGCAAUCAAUAUUAAAGACAAUAAAUAUUCUAUUGCAGUCAUAAUUAGGAGAAUGAGAUUAGCAACCAAGGGAGAGUCACAUUUAAAUAAUUAUGAACUGGUUUUAGAGAGAAAUAAUUUGUCCGACUUAUUAAGUUAGCUGAUUGGAUAUCAAAGGUUAGCCAGGAUUAAUUUAAUAAGUUGUACCAAAUUAUUUAGGCCUACAUGGUGAUUAUUUUAAACCCAGUAUUAUGAGUGAACACUGCGAUUAUGCCUUAGAGUUCACCCAAAGGAGAUCUAGGAUGAUAUCAAUAAUUCAUCAUUAUAAUGCUUAUAUUCUCAAAGACUUUAACUUGCAGCAUUGUCUAUUUUGUAUCAGUCAAUUGUUUCAAUACUUCAUUACACUCUCAUGCAUCUAGCGUCCCAGUCCAGAGGAUACUUGUUGGCGAUCGAUUUUUCGGAAAAUGGUAUGAGCAUGUUCAGUUUACACUCGGCGUGAUAAUGGACCGUGAUUGCGCUUUGACUUGUUGAAAAGCCUGCUGCGACAUUAUGAUGAAAUACCGCCAGAAACAAGUUAAACCAUGCCAAAUUUAUGGGAAAGGUCGAACAGGCUCAGUGGAUGUUCAUGAAGAUGACCAUUUGCCCCGAAUAAUAUCAAAACCUCCUGACACAGACCUCUAAUGCACUGGAAUAUUUAAAGGCUGUAGAUGACCGCCUUUAAAUCUGCUGAUAAAUCACAUUGCCUGGCACUAUCAUGGCUGAAUUAACACCAAUGAAAUGAUGUACAACCAGAGCGAGUUCAGGAGCCCACAUUCUGACAUGUCUGAUAAAGCCUUUGCCAAAGCUUGAUUCCUUGAGACAUGCAAGUGGUAUGCAGUCGCUUCCUGGUUCCAGGUUAUCUCAAAUCACUUCCUUCACAGUUCGGCCCAUUCAAAAUCCAUUAAACACCAAUAAGACAAGUGGAGGUUGAAUGAGCUAACUAAUAUGUGCUGUUCAGGAGGAAGUGAGAUUGAGAGAGGAAGGACGCCAAACGCACUUUCGGCUUUAACUCAAGGAGGAAUGAAGGAGGAGGAAAAAUUCGGUAAGGCUAAGAAAAAUCUGCCAAAAUUUGACGAAUGGACCUGGAGAAAGUAGUCAGGCCAUGCCCAAAGAAUGGCUUCACUGUCAAGAUGCACUUUUGUGCGCCAAUAAGGAAGACAUGUGAAAGAGGACUUGCCCAACAAGCCGUAGGGGCUUGUUCGAAAGAAGGUAAGAAUUCUUUGUAUGGUAUGAAAUCAAAUUCUUGUGAAGUUUACCUUCUAUACAUGGUGAUUGAUUCUGGAGCACACUCCUAUUUCAAAUCUAUGACCCAGGGAUACUUACACCGAAAACCGGAGCGAAAGUGAGAGAUCGUUCUAUUAUGAGGGAACCGUUCUAAAGAUCAAGUGGUAGUUGUUGGCACUUACCGUUUGAUUUGAGAGACUGGUCUCAGAAUGGAUCUCUGAAGAGAUAAUUUUAUGUUCCCUCUAUUUCUAGAAAUUUGUUUCAUUAUCUAGAUUAGAUCGUUCUGGAUAUUCAGUUUUUAUUUAGGUGUUGAAAACUCAGUUUGAAUUUUAAUUUCAAUAAAGUUGCGUUUGGUAAUUUAUUCUGAGGUUUAUAUAAAAUUCCUUUAAAUCAUGAGUUUGCACAUCUUUGGUAACCCUGCAUUCGAAUGUUGGUUCAAAACGUAGUAAAAUUAAUGAAAACCAUCAACCUUGUGCGCAUAAUAAACGACUGGGACAAUUCAAAGGAUAGAAUUGAAAGAUGGUUAAAGAAUGCGGAUUUUGGAACUCUCAAAUUAUUGAUUUUGAAAUAUGUGUAGAUUGCCCAUGAAGAGAAAGCCAAACCAAACAUACAAAGAAAGGAGCCACAAGAAGUAAAUGAGCUUCUCGAAAUAAUUCACACGGAUAUUGAGAAAUCCAACUCAUGUAUUAGUGGACAAAAUUUAUCACCUUAUAGAUGAUUUCUCACGGUAUGGAUAUUUGUAUAUAAUUUCAUGAAAGUCUCAGCCGUUGAACAUUCUGAAGUGUACAUUACUGAGUGUUCGAGAGACAAUAGAUAGAAAAGUAAAAAUAGUGGAUCAGAAGAGAGUGCCGGAAUUUUAUGAGUAAAUAUGAUGAGUCAGGCCAAAAUCCCCUUGGCCCAUUUGCCAAACUCCUUAGUAAAAGCGACGCGCAUUCGUGCCCUCCAAUACACAAGCCUCUGGUAGCACAGCAGAAUGAGAUAGUUGCCCUGAAAGCGUAAUCGACACUUAUGGAUAUGCGUAGCCGAGUCUGAUGAGUUUGACGAAGCCACUACCCAAAGUCUUUGUGGAGUGAAGCACUUAAAACCGCAAUGCUAUAUCGUGAAUAGGUGUUCUUAGUAGGCGUCCCAACAACUCCUUUUGAGUUGUGGAAUGGUAGGAAACCCAGUUUGAGACUUUACGUUUAGGGUGGUCCAGCGAAGACGGUAGAAUCCUAUUAAUCCACAAGAAAAGAAAUUAGAUUAUUAGAACAAUUCUGGGAGUAUUUCAUUGGUUAUCCAGAAAAUCUAAGGCGGUACAGAUUCUAUUGUCCUAAACCAUAGCUACGAGAAUAGUUGAAAACCGGAAAUGCCAGAUUCUUAGAGAAUGGCGAAUAGUGGAUGUGAGAAAUCAAGGAAAGUUGAGUUUCGAUGAAGUCAGAGUUGACAUCCAACAAUUCUUCCUCGUCAAGUAGUUGUCACUACUCGGAAAACCAGCAGUCUGAGGAGAUAUGAACAACCUUGAAAUAAAUGAUUCUCCACUCACAUGAGGAAUCGCCAUUGAAAAUAAUGAGAACCACCACAACCGGCCCAGUUCUAAGAAGAUCUCAAAAAAAAAGAAGAUCUGCCAGCCCAAAGAUAUGUGGGUAUCUACAAGAAUCUGAUUUUGACAUGGAUUUUUAGAAAGAUCCGGUUUCAUUUCACAGCGCCAUUAGUAGUGAUGAUUCUAAUAAAUGGAGUUGAUGCCAUGAAUGAUGAGUUGAAAUCAUGUGCCCAGAAUGAUGUCUGGCAUCUCGUGAAUUGCCUUCUAAUUGCAAGAAGAAAAGAAAAUCGAGUGUAGAUGGUUAGGUCUUUAAGACCAAGCGUGAUUCAAAAGGCAAUAUCGAUCUUUUGAACGAUUAAGGCCAGACGAUGUGGCUAAGGGUUUCACUCGAAAGAAAGAAGGUAUUGACUACAAAGAGACCUUGUCUCCAGUAUCUAAGAAGGAUCGCUUAGAAUUAUUUAGGCCCCUUGCUAGCAUCAUUCUAUGACUUAGAACUACACAGAUGGAUGUGAAAAUGCUUUCAAAUGGUAGUUUGAAUGCAGAAAAUUAAUAGAACAACCUGAAGGAUCGCCAAAGAAAGGAAAAGAGCAUUUAGCUUGCAAAUUAAAGAAAUCUAUUUAUGGCCUUAAACAAGAUUCUAGACAAUGGCUACUUAAGUGUAAUGAUACCAUUAACUCUUUCGGAUUAAGGAAAACGCGUGUUGAUCAGUGUAUAUAUCUGAAGGUCAGUGGGAGUAAGUUAUUAUUUUGGGUCUAUAUGUAGAUGAUAUUUUGUUAGCUUGACAAUGAUCUUCGUUGGCUUACACGAACCAAGGGAUAUCUCGCAAAAAAACGUUAAGAUGGUCGAUUUAGGUGAGUGAGGCCAUCGUAUGUUAUUGGCAUAGAGAUAAUAAGAGAGCGAUCUCGAGGAUGCUGCUAGGAUUGCCUCUCAGAAGCGGUAUAUCGAUCGAUUUGUUUCGAGAGAUUUAAUAUUGCAGUGUUGCUCAGUAAGUGAUUCGGCACCUAUUGUGAAGAGUGACGGACAAGUUAAAUGAAAGACAAUAUCAAGGGAAUGGGAUACUGGAAGCACUAAAGAAGCAGUUUAUGCAGAUACUUCAGGAACCAAAGACUACAUGCUCACUUAUAGUAGAUCUGGAUCGUUUGGAAGUGAUGCCGAUACUCGGAUUCAGAUUCGCUGGUUGUUUGGAUAGCAGAAAUCAACAUCAGGGUUGUUUUCUGUUAAUGGGUGGAACAAUUUCGUGGAAGAGUAGAGCUGAUUGUUAAAGCAAUCUAUUAUUGCUGCAUCCAUGAUGGAGGCCGAGUUUGUGGCCCUGCUUUGAGGCCACAGGUUCAUGCUUUAUGAUGCCGGAAUCUGUAUCUCAGGACUUAGGUGUUGUGUCGACUCAAUUGCCCAAGCCCGGGAAUUGACGAUAUAUUGUGACAAUCCGCAGCAGUUUUCUUCUCUAAGAAUGGCCACAAGUACUGUAAUGGUUCCAAGCCUAUGGAAGUUAAGUACUUGGUGUUAGAGAAAGAGCUCCAAGAACAACAAGCUGUCAAUGAGAACAUGAGCACCAAUCUGUAUGAUAGAUGAUCCGCCUAACGAAGGAUUGCCACCAAAGACUAUAAAGAAAACAUGUUGUAGGAUGGCCCGUAUUUGCGCAUCCAUGAUGAAUAUUUUGAGGGUUAUUGCUAGCAUCGCACUAAAUUGCGCAUUAUUAGAGUGUUUCUGAUUGUUCUGUUUCCAUUGUGCGGUGCCCCCACAUAUUAUGUUGGGAUUAUUAAACAGGAAUUGUCUAUGACAAGACAAAAAUUAUUGCGGGCUUCUUUAGGGAAUGUAUCCUAAAGUAUAAUUGUACCUUUUUCUAUUAUGCACUGAGAGUUUAUAACGCUGUUAUCAAUGGUUGCUCGUGCAUAGAAGGAAAUAGGCAUGCGAUGCCAUUACAACGCUAUGACUCAAAUUGCCGUGAAUCUAAAGUAAACCACAGUAGUGUUAAUUAGUUGAACCUAUUGGCCCCCUGAUUUUAUGAAAAAUUCGUGAUCACGUGUUAAAGUUUUAAAAUAUGGAGUCCAUGAGUCAUUUAAAAAUGGCCACUUAUUUAAGAAAUAGCCACAUUGCAACACCAAUCGGGCUAAUGGGCCAAGUGGGGAGAGGAGAAUGUUAUUUCACGUUAUUAAGUGGCCCACAUUAGUCUCACGUUUUUAGGCAUAUUGCUCGUAUACUAAACUCCAGAUAAUUAAGGCCAAUAAAAGAUAGAGAAAGCGUUCUAAUCUAAUUAUAUCUAUCUAAAUAGAAUAAACGCCUUAUGAUAAAGGAUACCAUUUGAUGGAUAGGAAUCCUUUUAGACAGAGUAUAUCUCUAGGCCCUCUUCUCUCCUCUAUUAAAGAUAGGAUAACCACCCCUUGAAAGUUAUGAUGUUUUUCCAUCAAUAUUAGAAUAUGGUUAUCCUUUUUGAAGUUAGAGACAGAGAGAAGCCAGGUUGAGCCAAGAAAUU
rnacentral:lncRNA from 1 species